CCUACGGGUGACAGCAGUAGGGAAUAUUGCUCAAUGGGGGAAACCCUGAAGCAGCAACGCCGCGUGGAUGAUGAAGGUUUUCGGAUUGUAAACUCCUUUUGUUAGAGAAGAUAAUGACGGUAUCUAACGAAUAAGCACCGGCUAACUCCGUGCCAGCAGCCGCGGUAAUACGGAGGGUGCAAGCGUUACUCGGAAUCACUGGGCGGAAAGAGCGCGUAGGCGGGAUAGCAAGUCAGAUGUGAAAUCCUAUGGCUUAACCAUAGGACUGCAUUUGAAACUGUUAUUCUAGAGUAUGGGAGGGGUAAGUGGAAUUCUUGGUGUAGGGGUAAAAUGCGUAGAGAUCAAGAGGAAUACUCAUGGCGAAGGCGACCUGCUGGAACAUAACUGACGCUGAUGCGCGAAAGCGUGGGGAGCAAACAGGAUUAGAUACCCGAGUAGUC
rnacentral:rRNA from 1 species